rnacentral:rRNA from 1 species
AUACGGAGGGUGCAAGCGUUAAUCGGAAUUACUGGGCGUAAAGCGCGCGUAGGCGGAUGAUUAAGUUGGAUGUGAAAGCCCAGGGCUCAACCUUGGAACUGCAUUCAAUACUGGUCAUCUAGAGUACAGUAGAGGAGGGUAGAAUUUCUUGUGUAGCAGUGAAAUGCGUAGAUAUAAGAAGGAAUACCAGUGGCGAAGGCGGCCCUCUGGACUGAUACUGACGCUGAGGUGCGAAAGCGUGGGGAGCAAACGGGAUUAGAAACCCCAGUAGUCC